AUUGAACGCUGGCGGCAGGCCUAACACAUGCACGUCGAGCGGAGCGGCGGACGGGUGAGUAAUGCCUAGGAAUCUGCCUGGUAGUGGGGGAGAACGUCCGGAAACGGGCGCUAAUACCGCAUACUAUCAGAUGAGCCUAGGUCGGAUUAGCUAGUUGGUGGGGUAAAGGCCUACAAGGGCGACGAUCCGUAACGGGUCUGAGAGGAUGAUCAGUAACACUGUAACUGAGACACGGUCCAGACUCCUCCGAGAGGCCGCAGUGGGGAAUAGUGGACAAUGGGCGAAAGCCUGAGCCAGCCAUGCCGCGUGUGUGAAGGAGGUCUUCGGAUUGUAAAGCACUUUAAGUUGGGAGGCGUUACCAACAGAAUAAGCACCGGCUAACUUCGUGCCAACAGCCGCGGUAAUAC
rnacentral:rRNA from 1 species